AUUAAGAAGCUAUGAACCAGCAUUAGCCUUUUAAGCUAAAGAAAGAGGGAUUCCCCCCUCCUUAAUGAU
rnacentral:tRNA from 1 species